AUGUUGUCUGUAGCUCUUCUGCUGCUGCUGGCAGCUGGAUUCUGUGUGAAGUGUGAGACACUGACACAGCCAGCCUCUGUGACUGUGCAGCCAGGACACACUCUCACCAUCCCCUGUACUGUCUCAUAUGAUGUUGGUAGCCACCACACACACUGGAUCAGACAGCCUUCUGGGAAAGGCCUGGAGUGGAUUGGAGGUCACCGUGCAGGAUACACUAUGUACCUCAAAGAUUCACUGAAGAGCCAGUUCAGUGUAAAUGUGGAUUCUUCAACCAAAACUGUAACUCUGAAUGGACAAAACAUGCAGUCUGGAGACACUGCAGUGUACUACUGUGCCAGACAGUCACAGUCACAGAAAGUAUAUGUAGAGCUGUACAAAAACACAUCAGACUGUAGUCCCCAGAGGGGGAGCUCUGACACCACUGAGACAAUUUUGUGUGUUGAUUUAUUCAACUGUAGCAUGAUUUGUGAUAUCAUCUUCCUCUUUCCAGGCUAUUUUGUGGAAAUCCAAGCCCACUCAUUGUAAGGAUGCAUUUCUAUGUUUUUCAGUCCAAUAAACA